UGCAUGACAAGGUUUCCAGCAGAGCCACAUUGGUGCAUUUUAUGUACGCAUACCUUACUCAGAGAGACCCUUCCUUGCAAGUCAAAUGACUACAUGUUUGUGAGAAGAACUGGCAUGAUACCAAGUCCACUGGAUAAGGCUAGAAUGUGAGUCUCCUGAGGAAUGAAGUUGGAAUGCCUCCAUGAGAAGAGUGUGGGGACAGAGUGUUUGCAAAUGUUUUAUUUGAUUUGGAAUUUUAGAGCUCAAUCAGGAAUUAAGGUAAGCACAGGGACAGAGCUAUUAAGGCAGCUGGAAAGGGACAGACAGUCCUGGAAUGUGGCAGCUCCUGUUUGAUUUUAAAUAUUGUUGGUGGCUUGCCCUUCACACUAACUUAUUUGGAGGAAAAAAGUCUUCAGGUGAUCUUAUUUGAAUAAGAAAAAAAGUUCCAAACAGCUCCCUUGCCGCCACAUCAACAGCAGCUGAACAGCCUGGGUUGCUGCAUAGUGAGAAUUAUUCCUUUCAUUUCAAGGGAAUCAAAGAUGUUUGGAGUAAGCAAGAGCCCUGGUUACACAUGAUCAAAAUAAACGAGCGUUAGAUUUGCUUAUGGAAAGUGUCAGUUGAGUCUACUGCUAAAGCCUGAGUACACUUUUUAUUGUUCCCUAAAGAUUUUGCAGGAAAGAGAGAAGUCACCUAUGGAAAAAAACAAAAACAAAAAACUAAGUUGAUUUGGGGAAAAACAAGAAGCAUUUGAAGAUCUUCCCUUUUCUGAAUUCAUUCCUGCUGGAGGUUCCCUAAAGCAAGGGGUGCAAUGAUGAUGCUGUUGAUUGUACACAGAAGUCAAAAGGAAAUUCAAGCUUCUGUCAAGAUUCAUUCCAAAGAUAAUAAAAAAAGGAAAUGAUGGAAUCCCUUUUAGAGCUUUUGGAUGGAUUCACUGGUGCUUUGGCUGUUCUCUGAAUUUGUAAGGAAUGGAGAGCAAAAGCGAAAUUGCAGGCUCCCAGUUCAUACCCACCUUAGCAGCAAUUUCAACAUCUUAUGCUUCCAAUGGCUCCUUUUCUCAAAUCAUCCUUUGUUUCUUUCUUACUUUCAUGCAUUUUUGUUUUCUUUCUCUUUUAAAAAAAUUUUGCAACGCUACUAUCAUCCAGUGCUCCAUGACAUUCAGCAUACAUGUUUUAUAUUUUGGUGUAUAAAAUUAAGCACACUACUCCUGCCACUGCCUAUCUAUGUGACCUGUGGGCCUAAGUUUCCUCAUUUGUAAAAUAAGGGAAUUGAGUAAGACUUGCAGUGCUCAAACUAUGUUCUAUCCCAGGGUUCCUCAAUUUGUACACUGUUGAUAAUUUAAGCUGGAUAAUUCUUUGUAGUGGGAGGCUAUCCUGUUCAUCAAGGGAUGGUUAGCAACACCCCUGGCCUCUACCCAUUAGAUGCCUGCAGUACGACUAUACUCUCUCCCCUGGUUGUGAAAACCAACAAUUGCCAAAUGACUCCUGGGCUGAAAAAGUCACUAAUUAAAGCAAUGGUUCUCAAACUUUGGUGGGUGUCAAAAUCCCUGGGGAACUUGGUAAAAACAUAAAGGCCCAGACUGGAUUCA